rnacentral:rRNA from 1 species
CAGUAGCCGCGGUAAUACGGAGGGGGCUAGCGUUGUUCGGAAUUACUGGGCGUAAAGCGCGCGUAGGCGGCUUGGUAAGUUAGAGGUGAAAGCCCGGAGCUCAACUCCGGAAUUGCCUUUAAGACUGCCGAGCUAGCAGGUGAGAGAGGUAAGUGGAAUUCCGAGUGUAGAGGUGAAAUUCGUAGAUAUUCGGAAGAACACCAGUGGCGAAGGCGGCUUACUGGCUCAUACUGGACGCUGAGGUGCGAAAGCGUGGGGAGCAAACAGGAUUAGAUACCCCAGUAGUCCCUGUCUCUUAUAC